CCUACGGGAGGCAGCAGUGAGGAAUAUUGGUCAAUGGACGAGAGUCUGAACCAGCCAAGUCGCGUGAAGGAUGACUGCCCUCUGGGUUGUAAACUUCUUUUAUAUGGGAAUAAAAUGUUCCACGUGUGGGAUUUUGUAUGUACCAUAUGAAUAAGGAUCGGCUCACUCCGUGCCAGCAGCCGCGGUAAUACGGAGGAUGCGAGCGUUAUCCGGAUUUAUUGGGUUUAAAGGGAGCGUAGGAGGAUUUUUAAGUCAGUUGUGAAAGUGUGCGGCUCAACCGUAAAAGUGCAGUUGAAACUGGCAGUCUUGAGUACAGUAGAGGUGGGCGGAAGUCGUGGUGUAGCGGUGAAAUGCUUAGAUAUCACGAAGAACUCCGAUAGCGAAGGCAGUUCACUGGACUGCAACUGACACUGAGGCUCGAAAGUGUGGGUAUCAAACAGGAUUAGAUACCCGUGUAGUC
rnacentral:rRNA from 1 species